AAUAAUCCCUCUAAACAUGAAAAGCACCUAAUUAAGGAAAAUGAACAACUUGUUAAAAUUCUGGUAUUGCAAUUGUGGUUGAAACGAAAACCAGCAUACACAGGGGUACUCCAGGACUGAGGUUGGGAACCACUGGGCUAUUGGAUCAAACCUGAAAAGGCUAUGGGGAGACUGGCCUGAAGGCUCUGAUGCCAACAAUAAUAGGAGGAACUUGGUGGGUGGUACAUUUCCUGUGAGCACUUAACCACUUCCUGAGAGGCUACACGACCUGUGCACCACCUAGAGCAGCUCCUCCCAAAUUUGUGCAGACCAGCGGAGAGAGAAGAUUGGAUAAUUGGAGGCACCUGUGAUGCAGUCUACGUAAUUGGCUUGGUGCUAAGUCUCAUCGUCUCUUUCUCCCAGAUUUCCUCCCUCAUGUCAGACCUUUUGGCUGUGGGUCUUGGCAUGGGCCUGGUACAUUUCCUACUACAAUUCUUGUAUC